UUCAAGGAUAAGAUUAAUUCAGGCUGCAUCC
rnacentral:piRNA from 1 species